GCCGGUUUAGCUCAGUUGGUAGAGCAACUCAUUUGUAAUGAGAAGGUCGCGGGUUCGACUCCUGCAACCGGCACCA
rnacentral:tRNA from 1 species